rnacentral:rRNA from 1 species
CCAUGCAGUCAAACGGCAGCGCGGGGUAACCUGGCGGCGAGUGGCGAACGGGUGAGUAAUACAUCGGAACGUGCCCUGUGAUGGGGGAUAACUACGCGAAAGCGUAGCUAAUACCGCAUACGACCUAAGGGUGAAAGUGGGGGAUCGCAAGACCUCACGUCAUAGGAGCGGCCGAUGGCGGAUUAGCUAGUUGGUGAGGUAAAGGCUUACCAAGGCAACGAUCCGUAGCUGGUCUGAGAGGACGACCAGCCACACUGGGACUGAGACACGGCCCAGACUCCUACGGGAGGCAGCAGUGGGGAAUCUUGGACAAUGGGGGCAACCCUGAUCCAGCAAUGCCGCGUGUGGGAUGAAGGCCUUCGGGUUGUAAACCACUUUUGGCGGGGGCGAAAUAUCGAGUGCUAAUACCAUUCGGUGAUGACGGUACCCGCAGAAUAAGCACCGGCUAACUACGUGCCAGCAGCCCGGGGUAAUAC